rnacentral:rRNA from 1 species
UACGGAGGGAGCUAGCGUUGUUCGGAAUUACUGGGCGUAAAGGGCUCGUAGGCGGCCAACUAAGUCCGACGUGAAAUCCCAAGGCUUAACCUUGGAACUGCGUCGGAUACUGGAUGGCUUGAAUUCGGGGGAGGGAUGCAGAAUUCCAGGUGUAGCGGUGAAAUGCGUAGAUAUCUGGAGGAAUACCGGUGGCGAAGGCGGCAUCCUGGACCGACAUUGACGCUGAUGAGCGAAAGCUAGGGGAGCAAACGGG